GCGGGCGUAGCUCAGUUGGUAGAGCAUCAGCUUCCCAAGCUGAGGGUCGUGGGUUCGAAACCCAUCGCCCGCUCCA
rnacentral:tRNA from 1 species